rnacentral:rRNA from 1 species
GAUGAACGCUGGCGGCGUGCUUAAUACAUGCAAGUCGAGCGAACAGACGCGGAGCUUGCUCCUCUGACGAUAGCCGAGGGCGUGAGAGAAACAUGUGGAUAACGUACCUAUCAGACUGGGAAAACCAGGGAAAACCGGAGCAAAUACCGGAUAAUCUCUUGAACCGCAUGGUUCAAUAGUGAGAGACGGCUGUGGUGUCACUAAUAGCGGGAUACGCGCCGCAUUAGCUAGUUGGUAAGGUAAAGGCUUAUCAAGGCAACGAUGCGUAGGCGACCGGAGGGGGUGAUCGGCCACACUGGAACUGGAACACGGACCAGACUCCUACGGGAGGCAGCAGUAGGGAAUCUGCCGCAGUGGGCGAAAGCUUGACGGAGCAGCGCCGCGUGAGUGAUGAAGGUCUUCGGAUCGGAAUACUCUGUUACUGGGGAAGAACAAAUUUGUAAGUAACUAUGCACGUCUUGACGGUACUUAAUCAGAAAGCCACGGCUAACUACGUG